rnacentral:rRNA from 1 species
GCGGUAAGGCCUUUCGGGGUACACGAGCGGCGAACGGGUGAGUAACACGUGGGUGAUCUGCCCUGCACUUCGGGAUAAGCCUGGGAAACUGGGUCUAAUACCGGAUAUGACCUCAGGUUGCAUGACUUGGGGUGGAAAGAUUUAUCGGUGCAGGAUGGGCCCGCGGCCUAUCAGCUUGUUGGUGGGGUAAUGGCCUACCAAGGCGACGACGGGUAGCCGACCUGAGAGGGUGACCGGCCACACUGGGACUGAGACACGGCCCAUACUCCUACGGGAGGCAGCAGUGGGGAAUAUUGUUCAAUGGGUAAAAGACUAGUGCAGCGACGCCGCGUGAGGGAUGACG